GCUGGGUAUGGUGAUGCAUACCUGUAAUCUCAGUGAGUUGGGAAGCUGAGGCAGGAGGAUCACAAGUUUGAAGACAGCCCCAGCAACUUAGUGAGACCCUCUCUCAA
rnacentral:sRNA from 1 species